rnacentral:rRNA from 1 species
CAGUCGCCACGGUAAUACGUAGGGUGCAAGCGUUAAUCGGAAUUACUGGGCGUAAAGGGCGCGUAGGUGGUUAUGUAAGUGAGAUGUGAAAUCCCCGGGCUCAACCUGGGAACUGCAUCUUAUACUGCGUAGCUGGAGUGCAGUAGAGGGUAGUGGAAUUUCCGGUGUAGCGGUGAAAUGCGUAGAUAUUGGGAAGAACACCGGUGGCGAAGGCGGCAACCUGGUCCUUGACUGACGCUGAGGCGCGAAAGCGUGGGGAGCAAACAGGAUUAGAGACCCCCGUAGUCCCUGUCUCUUAUAC